rnacentral:lncRNA from 12 species
CUGCAGCUUAACCAGGAAAGGCCAGCCUCCCAGGACUGGACACUAAUGUGUAUUAGAAUGGUGUUUAUCCCAUUAAUUUGGAGAUUUCUCUUUCAGAAGACGUUUGAGGGCUUGGUCAGAAGCAGGCAGGGAGCUGUGAGCUGGUUUUGCUGAGUUCUCAGCCACGUGUCACCACUCUGCAGUCCAAAGCUUGCUGAUGGAACUGAGUGCCUGGGAGACCAAGUUACCCAUGCAGCAAAUGCCAAC